ACCGGCCCGACUUCCCCGCUUCGCUUUGUGUCCCUACGCGCUCACGGCUCCCUCUCCGCCGAUUCAUCCUCCUCCCCUCCUGGUUCCAGCCCCACCCGUCGACCCGGUUACCCUUGCCACCGACGUACGCCGCCCCGCUGCGGCGCUCCUCAACUCACGUCCCGCCUCCUCCCGUCGCAUCCAGUGGAUGGGUCCGGCUGCGCACAAUAACAUCAUCAAUUGGCGAAGUGAGAUAAGGGAAUCAAUGGGGCUACAACUGUAUAGCUUCAGAUGACUACAUCAUCCUGAGCAACUUCUCGUAUGUUGAGUUCGGGGUAUCUCAUGAAAGUGUUUUACUCAUUGACACUCAGUAGCCAGUAUGCAGUCCGUCCAUCCUACUUGUUACGAUGAGGCAUGGUGGUUCUUCCACACUUCCUGUUCUUAACGACGAUCCAUUAUCAGAGGCUUGGCCCAUGAUCUAAUGGGAAUCCAGGAAUUUCUAUACCUUGGAGUUUUCUUGGCAUCUAUCUGUAAUAUUUGUUGGUCGUGUUGGAAGGGUUCAAUGGUUUCACCACGUGGGAGCUCAUGCUUAUGGGUUGAUUUAAUGAAGGAUACCAUACUUCACACAUAACUACUGACCUCACCAUCAUCACCAGACAAAGAAAAUAAAAUGAUAACAAAUCAGGCAGAUUAUAUGGCCGACUAUAUUUUGUCCAUGCUAGAUCAGCGUUUUGAACUGCUAUACUUGCGUUAAGAGAGUGUAUUAUUCAUGUGAUUCAAAAAAAGAGUGUAUUAUUCCUGAUAUCAGAUGCUCAUUUCUAUUUCUCAUAAUAAAUAGAUCUUUUUGAAUUUCCUGUUGGUAAAGAAAUGAAUAAUUCUGCCAAAUGAACAUAUGAGCACUUUCCACGAAAGUCAGUACAUUUCAAAAGGCAAUUCCGUACUGUCUGAAAAUAUAGUAUUCAGUGGUGAUCAGUUUAGCCGAAUAGGGCAGUAGGUUCCAACUUGCGGUGAACUUCUGGUGAAUCACUGUACAUAUUAGAUCGUAGGGCCAUGUGCUUGAAAGUAAAUCAUAAGUAGAACAUGAGUUACCUAAAAUCAGAGUUAAUUAACAGAAAAGACUGGGGCAACAAUAUAUGCAAAAUUGUUGAGCCUGUAUGUGCUAGAAUUAGUAUGUGUUCUGUUCACACAUCAGGGUAUACAGUACUAAAACUAAAGUUAAAGAUCCAGCCUUUAUGGAGUCAGUUCAUGUGUUUGUACUACCUCUGCUCAAACUAGGCCAGAUUAUUAAAUAACCAGAGGGAGAGAAAAAUCAGCAUCCAUGUCUCCGCUCACACUUGGAAGAUGAUUAAAUAAGUAGAGGGACAGAUGACAUUGUUUGCUAAUAUUUACAUUUUUGACAGGUUCUAUAUGAAAUAGAAAUCUAUGUGGGAGCAUGCUUGAUAAAAUCCGGUUCAUGUCUGUACAAAUUAGUUGAUCCAGCAAAAUUUAUUCUUGGAAGUAGAUGAUAUUUUUUCCACAUCCUUUUUGAAUGCAACAACGAUAUAACAAUAAUGUGAUCUAUUAAUAGAUUUGCAUCUACAGAAUAAGUGGACUUCCACGUUUAGGUUUAAGUCUUCCAAAUAGGGAGCUCAGGUUGCUCCGAGCGUGGUCGCUGGGUAUGGCCCUACAUGUCAGCAUGUUACCGUCUCUUUUUUUUAGCUUGUGUGACAAUGUGUUUGUGGCCAUGUUUGCAUACGUGGUGUUGCCUGCUUGUUUGUGUCCAGACGGCAUGGACCUGCUCGGUUGUGUCUGAACCAUCCCUUGCUAAUGGCAUUCAGGUGGAUGUAUUAUGCAAUGCGGAGAGCCAUUGGAAACUGAUUACCACAUUCAUGGAUGGAUAGCUUCCGGUGAGCUAUGUUGCAUGAUUUGUUUGUUAGUAUAUCUGUGUCGAUGAGCUGCUCGAUUGCACAAGCGAAAUCGACACUUUUAUAAUAUGUAAGAUAUAUCAUGGUUCAUGUAUAAGGAGUGAUAAUCCAGUUAUUUUUUAUAUGCAUAUUUAAGUCAACAAGAGCUUCAAAUGUUUUUUGUGCAAUGUAAAGAGUUUCAAAUGGGUUUGUA